rnacentral:rRNA from 1 species
GUGGGGAAUAUUGGACAAUGGGCGCAAGCCUGAUCCAGCCAUGCCGCGUGUGUGAAGAAGGCCUUAUGGUUGUAAAGCACUUUAAGCGAGGAGGAGGCUACUUUAGUUAAUACCUAGAGAUAGUGGACGUUACUCGCAGAAUAAGCACCGGCUAACUCUGUGCCAGCAGCCGCGGUAAUACAGAGGGUGCAAGCGUUAAUCGGAUUUACUGGGCGUAAAGCGCGCGUAGGCGGCUAAUUAAGUCAAAUGUGAAAUCCCCGAGCUUAACUUGGGAAUUGCAUUCGAUACUGGUUAGCUAGAGUGUGGGAGAGGAUGGUAGAAUUCCAGGUGUAGCGGUGAAAUGCGUAGAGAUCUGGAGGAAUACCGAUGGCGAAGGCAGCCAUCUGGCCUAACACUGACGCUGAGGUGCGAAAGCAUGGGGAGCAAACAGGAUUAGAUACCCUGGUAGUCC